GCAGUGGGGAAUAUUGGACAAUGGGGGGAACCCUGAUCCAGCCAUGCCGCGUGUGUGAAGAAGGCCUUAUGGUUGUAAAGCACUUUAAGCGAGGAGGAGGCUCUCUUGGUUAAUACCCAAGAUGAGUGGACGUUACUCGCAGAAUAAGCACCGGCUAACUCUGUGCCAGCAGCCGCGGUAAUAAUCUAGA
rnacentral:rRNA from 1 species